rnacentral:rRNA from 1 species
GUGUCAGCAGCCGCGGUAAUACAGAGGGUGCGAACGUUGCUCGGAAUUACUGGGCGUAAAGCGCAUGUAGGCGGAUCCAUAAGUCGGGCGUGAAAUCCCCAGGCUCAACCUGGGAACUGCGCUCGAAACUGUGGGUCUUGAGUGUCGGAGAGGAUGGCGGAAUUCCUGGUGUAGAGGUGAAAUUCGUAGAUAUCAGGAGGAACACCGGUGGCGAAGGCGGCCAUCUGGACGACAACUGACGCUGAGAUGCGAAAGCGUGGGGAGCAAACAGGAUUAGAUACCCUGGUAGUCC